UACGGGGGGGGCAAGCGUUGUUCGGAAUUACUGGGCGUAAAGGGCUCGUAGGUGGCCAACUAAGUCAGACGUGAAAUCCCCAGGCUUAACCUGGGAACUGCGUCUGAUACUGGAUGGCUUGAAUUCGGGAGAGGGAUGCAGAAUUCCAGGUGUAGCGGUGAAAUGCGUAGAUAUCUGGAGGAAUACCGGUGGCGAAGGCGGCAUCCUGGACCGAGAUUGACACUGAUGAGCGAAAGCGAGGGGAGCAAACGGG
rnacentral:rRNA from 1 species